ensembl:snRNA U2 U2 spliceosomal RNA
AUUGUGUUUUGAGUGUAUUUGUGAAUUGGUGAAUAAAGGUUAAAAAAAAAAAAAAUCUGUUCUUAUCAGUUUAAUAUCUGAUACGUCCCCUACCCGGGGACCAUAUAUUAAAUUGAUUUUUGGAACAGGGAGAUGGAAUAGGGGCUUGCUCCGUCCACUCCACGCAUCGACCCGGUAUUGCAGUACCUCCGGGAACGGUGCACCUCCU